AUAUAUACAGAUAGAUAAUCCAAGCCACGCAUUGAGUUAAAGAUCUUCUGUUAUUUUUGCUUAAAGACACUAGAACAGGAUGUGCAUCAAUAGAUGCCCAUUCCAGGAUGGAACAACAACAGAGGACGGGAGGAAGAAAGCACUGUGUAUAUAUCCUAAGGUGAAAAGCAGCACAGGAGAAGAGAGUACACACAUGGUUCUUCAUUCAUGAGAUGGAUCCAAUAGAUGCAGAUGCAGCGUCAGAAAUGCAGUGAUGUGUGCUAGUGAGUUGAACUGGUGGUACCAUGGCCGCUGCUGAUUGAACCCCAGUUAGCUUCGGUUCCCAUUUGCACAGCGAUGCUGUCCAUCGACUCUGAGGUUCCGCUUCUGUGACCCCAACUUGAUCGUCUCGAAUGCAUACCAGCCCUACCUUCCACAAGCUCACCCGGAAGAGAAAGAUCUGGGGAUGCAUGGGCUAUUCUACCCUCUUUCUCAUCCAAAAGACCCCCAAGGCCAACUUCCAAAUCUCUGAUAUCUGCUGCUGACCGAGGCUCAUCCCAUGAUACGGGUUUCCUACCCAAUUCAAGAUCUCCAACUGGUUUACCCAUGUUCGGGCUCAUGAAACCCCUAGCAGGCGUGCGUGUUUGUUGUAAACCUUGAUCCACUGGGACCCUAGCUCGAAAAUUGUUCUUGGAAGGAGGAAUUGCAGUGCAGAAGAUCUCCAGAAAGUUGUUCACCAUACCUCUGUUAUAUGGGUUAGCCCGCCGAUCGUACCGAUACCUAAAGUUCUCAUAGGUUGUCUGAUACACACAAGUAAAGAAAAGGACGGUUAACAAGUCAUUAAGCUAUGCUUGAAAGAUUUAUUUGUAAAAACUUAAAAAAAAACCGAAAGGAUACCAACCUGAUUGGUGCUCAUCAGGUAG
rnacentral:sRNA from 1 species